AGAGUUUGAUCAUGGCUCAGGAUGAACGCUAGCGGCAGGCUUAAUACAUGCAAGUCGAGGGGCAACAGGGGUAGCAAUACCUGCUGGCGACCGGCAAACGGGUGCGCAACACGUACAGAACCUUCCUUUAAGCGGGGGAUAGCCCAGAGAAAUUUGGAUUAAUACCCCAUGGUAUUAUUGUCUGGCAUCAGAUGGUAAUUAAAGAUUUAUCACUUAGAGAUGGCUGUGCGUCUGAUUAGGUAGUUGGUGUGGGUAACGGCCUACCAAGCCUUCGAUCAGUAACUGGUGUGAGAGCACGACCAGUCACACGGGCACUGAGACACGGGCCCGACUCCUACGGGAGGCAGCAGUAAGGAAUAUUGGUCAAUGGACGCAAGUCUGAACCAGCCAUGCCGCGUGAAGGAUGAAGGUCCUCUGGAUUGUAAACUUCUUUUAUGUGGGAAGAAAUGUCCGGAUUAUUCUGGAUUUGACGGUACCAUAGGAAUAAGCACCGGCUAACUCCGUGCCAGCAGCCGCGGUAAUACGGAGGGUGCGAGCGUUAUCCGGAUUCACUGGGUUUAAAGGGUGCGUAGGUGGGUUUGUAAGUCAGUGGUGAAAUCUCCGUGCUUAACAUGGAAACUGCCAUUGAUACUAUAGGUCUUGAAUUUUCCGGAGGUUAGCGGAAUAUGUCUGUAGCGGUGAAAUGCUUAGAUAUGACAUAGAACACCAAUUGCGAAGGCAGCUAACUACAGGGAUAUUGACACUGAGGCACGAAAGCGUGGGGAGCGAACAGGAUUAGAUACCCUAGUAGUCC
rnacentral:rRNA from 1 species